CCUCCUCUUGGCAGGGGUCGGGCUUGCGGUCCCGGUACGAGGCGGAGGGAAAGGGCUCCGCCCCCCCCCCCCCCCCCCCCCAGCGUCACGUCCUCGGUGCUGACAGUGUCCAGUCCGCCGGUUUUGUCCUCAGGCACCGGGACACAG